UACGAAGGGGGCUAGCGUUGCUCGGAAUCACUGGGCGUAAAGCGCACGUAGGCGGCUUUUUAAGUCAGGGGUGAAAUCCUGGAGCUCAACUCCAGAACUGCCUUUGAUACUGAGAAGCUUGAGUCCGGGAGAGGUGAGUGGAACUGCGAGUGUAGAGGUGAAAUUCGUAGAUAUUCGCAAGAACACCCGUGGCGAAGGCGGCUCUCUGGUACGUGACUGACGCUGAGACGCGAAAGCGUGGGGAGCGAACAGG
rnacentral:rRNA from 1 species